rnacentral:rRNA from 1 species
AACGAACGCUGGCGGCAGGUUUAACACAUGCAAGUCGAACGCAUCCUUCGGGGUGAGUGGCAGACGGGUGAGUAACGCGUGGGAACGUGCCCUUCAGUUCGGGAUAACCCAGGGAAACUUGGGCUAAUACCGGAUACGUGCGAGAGCAGAAAGAUUUAUCGCUGAAGGAUCGGCCCGCGUCUGAUUAGCUAGUUGGUGGGGUAAUGGCCCACCAAGGCGACGAUCAGUAGCUGGUCUGAGAGGAUGAUCAGCCACAUUGGGACUGAGACACGGCCCAAACUCCUACGGGAGGCAGCAGUGGGGAAUAUUGGACAAUGGGCGCAAGCCUGAUCCAGCCAUGCCGCGUGAGUGAUGAAGGCCUUAGGGUUGUAAACCUCUUUUAGUAGGGAAGAAGCGAAAGUGACGGUACCUGCAGAAAAAGCACCGGCUAACUACGUGCCAGCAGCCGCGGUAA